GGCUGUCACUGGCUCGGCCAGCAUUUAUUGCUGCGUUUACCCAGAGGGCAGUUAAGAGUCAACCACGUUGCUAUAGGUCUGGAGUCCCAUGCAGACCAGACCAGAUCCCAGUGAUCAGUGCCAAAGCCCCAUUGCCUGUGGAGAGGGUGAUGUUUGAUUUCCCUGUCCAGCUGCAAUUCAUGUGGUGAAGGUGCUCCCACAAUGUGGUUGGGUGGACAUUCAGAUGGUAAUCUCAGUAAUUGUAACGCCAAACUGUGACAAAAUUACUCAAUUCAUCAGGAGCUGGAUAUUCACAUUGUGUGGAUCUGCACUGGAACCCUUCUGUUUGCAGGACAAAUAUAUAUUUGAUGAAGAUGUGUUGAAAAUGUUUGCAGUUACUGAUCUGCUGAACGAAAAUGACCACUUUUAAACUGAUGAUUGGACUAGAAACCUUUGAGAAAACUUGAAAAUA